GUAGUACUCCCUCCGUUCGGAAUUACUUGUCACAAAAAUGGAUGUAUCUACAACUAAAAUACAUCUACAUACAUUCAUUUCUUGGACGAGUAAUUCCGAACGGAGGGAGUUUGUA
rnacentral:pre_miRNA from 1 species